CAGUAGCCACGGUAAUACGAAGGGUGCAAGCGUUAAUCGGAAUUACUGGGCGUAAAGGGUGCGUAGGCGGUUGUUUAAGUCUGUUGUGAAAUCCCCGGGCUCAACCUGGGAAUGGCAAUGGAAACUGGACGGCUAGAGUGUGUCAGAGGAUGGUGGAAUUCCCGGUGUAGCGGUGAAAUGCGUAGAGAUCUGGAGGAACAUCAGUGGCGAAGGCGGCCAUCUGGGACAACACUGACGCUGAAGCACGAAAGCGUGGGGAGCAAACAGGAUUAGAUACCCCCGUAGUCCCUGUCUCUUAUCA
rnacentral:rRNA from 1 species